UUUCAGGUGUUUAACCAUUUGCAGCUGCCUGGAAGCGACUCUAACUCCACCUGGAUAAACUGAUAUAAACCUGGGAUAAGCAGAUUGUAUUUCCUUUGCAAAUAUGUGUUGAAAUGAAUGGUUACCUGGGAAUGAACGUGAACUCUCUGCAUGGACCUAUUGCUACCUGGUGAUAAGCUACACAAUUCAACAUCCAGAAGAGAGCUUUGCAGUAUCAUCAUUUUCCUGGACAGAUGGCAAGGCUGGGCUCUUGGCAAGGAUCCUGCAGAGGGAAAAGUGGCAAGAUCUGGAGAGAAUACAUUUUCCCUCAAGAAUGGAAGAAAUGUUUGUCCUUGCAAAUAAAAUCCAAAAGAAACCAUGGUCACCAGGCCUUCUUGAGAGAGGACCACAUCGCAAUCCCAGGUCAGAGCCCUUGGAUUUGGAGGAAUGUCAACUCCAGCCUGAAUUUUUUAGAAAAUCUAGCAGAAAACAGAGCUGUUUCAUUUCAAGAAAUCAAGGCAGAUGAGUGAGUCUUCUAUUUACUUUUUUUAUCAGCCACGUGGUAGCUGGGAGCAAAAGGUAGCUACUUUGCUACUAAAGACACUGUAUAUCUGUGUAGGCAUGCUAAUUAAUGGUUUUCAGGUGCAAAGCUAUGUGUUUACUGCUAUAACAAUCAACUGUUGCUGCAAAUACUCACAAGAGGCUAACUGGGUCUGGACAACAGAGAUUUAAAAAUCAAAGCUGCUUUGUGCAUGUCUGUAAUGGGUACCUAUCUUAAAGAGUCAGCUCUGGAUAAAGAGGUUUCUUUUGUUGUGGCUUCAGAGCUGAGCUCUACAUUAAGUGAAAGCUAAGAACAAAAACAAUUUUCUCCUAAUUUUUUAUUAAGAAGUUAUUUGAUAGAUAUGUAACACAGGUUCAAAAACUCUCUGUGGAGCUUAUUAAGCAAGCUAUCUGUGCCACAGAUCCCGCAUGAGUAGCUGUGAGUUAAAAGAAGAGCAAGAGUUUUGAAAGUCAUUGACUUGAAAUCACCUGGUUCAAAGAACUGGCUUUCAGCAGUACAGAUGGCACCUAAUGAUAGCUCCCCUGCAGUGCAGGUAGGACACAUAGGGUAAAAGUCCUCUGUUUAGUGUAAAAAUCAAUGAUUUUCUCUAACGUGCUGCUGGGAUCUCUGGGACGGUACUCAUUUAUUCAGUUUGCUUAUGCUGUAAAUGGGAGGAUGAUCAGUGUUGAUGCAGCCCCAGUGUAUUGAGAAUGAAGGGAAAAGAGAGCUCAAGCAAUGUGGUGUGCUACCAGCCGAUCAGAUUAAUUAUUUAACAGAGAAAGCAGUUCAAAAUUAUCUGCUACAGAGUUUAUUGAACUUAAGUUGUCUUACAGUUUCUGGAUAAUCUCUAUUGAUCUGUGGUGGUUUAUACAUAUUCCUGUCCAGGUCCAUACCAUGUAUAUUUUAUUUCACCGUGGCAAAAUACCUAAUCUAUAUGUCCCUAGCAUCCUGUAUCACUUUGCUACAGCAACAUAAUUUCUGUGAAGUUAUGUUUGAAGAUCAUGCGUUCACAAUAGCUUGUGAAUUUGGGGGCACGGCUGGAUGUGGUAUGAAUGUCAAGAGUCCCGUUGUUUUUCAUUGAGCCAUCCUGAUUUACAUUAAGUAAGAACCUGGCUCUGCUGCUCUAAUGCUGUUACACUUUUUUGUGCUAUUCCAUCCCGAGUGUGCUGAGGGAGGUUUCUGGUUUCCAGCGCAUCAGGCACUAAAAUCCAACUGCCUGAUGUGGUGGUGACUUUCACAGUGGGCUGAACUUGUAAUCUGCCAUGUUACAUUAUGAACCGAGGGACAGAAAGUCCCCGUGAUUGUUAAGGGAGAUUAUAUUUUAAAGCCUGAUAUUCUUUUGGUACAGAUGCUUUAAAGGUCAUAUCUAAGACAGUAUGUGCUGCAGCAAGCUGGCACAGUGAGUAUGUAGCAGACGAAAGAAAGAACAAGCAUCAGUCAAGCAGAAUAAACAGCUUUUCUGAAGCUAAGGACACAGACUAGUAAAUUGGGUGUCCGUGAGAUACAGAGGAACGUCUAACAGUAGGAGUUGGAAAGCAAUGGCUUAGAAACACUGAGCUAUAUAAGGAGGGCCAGACUACACAUUAGGAUUCCACAGAAAGGCCCUAAAAGGUCAAUUUGACAAGCUGAAUAUGGAUAAUGAGUUGAGACAGAUGGUAUAAGAGUAUGGUAGCUAAUAAAUAAUGAACAGACUUGCUUCAAGGAGCAAAAGGAGGGAGAAAUCGCAGCUGAGAGCUUAGUCAGAAGGGAGGAGGUGAAGGGGAAAAGAACAAAACCGUGGAUGAUGGGAGAGGAUCACAGCAGGAGGACUAGUGGGAGAAGUGUCUGAUUUUGAGUGCCAGAACUCGUGGAGAUGGUAAUUUACGCAGAGACAUCUUAGAAAUGCAUAUGCGUGAACUGGAAUUUGGCCAUCUUGUUGAGAUUAACUUCUUUUUGCUGGAGAAACACUCAUGGCCUAUAAGCCUCUCCUAGAUGCCUAUUCCCCCUCCUCUCCUAUUAUUGCAGUACCUAAGCAUCUUACAGUGCUUGCACAUCCUCUGUGAGGCAAGGGAAAGUUCUCAGGCUUGUUUAGCAUAUCACAACCUGAGGCAAAGAGAGACUAAAGCUUCACUUACGCACCAAAGUGCUCUGCACUGUCCCUGAGUCCCAAGGACCCUAUAGACCAGCAAGCUGAGGCUUCCUUCAGCUUUCACACCCAGCCAUCUUUGACACGACCAAGAUAAAGGUGAGCAUUGCUGCCCCACAAAUCUCUUCCUAAUGUGAAGCUGAAGCACAAACCCUGACCUGGAUACCAAGCAGCACUCCCAGAUAUCCCAAAGCAGAUGUAAAUCAGGGAGCUUUCUUAGGGUCACCCAGGGAAGCCACACCAGUGUCAAACAUUGAACCCACGUUUCCAUUAUGUCCUUGUCUUUUUCAGUAUUUUAGAGCUAGAGUCUCUGGGGCUUUAUUGCUUAUUAAUGAACCAACCCCUCCUUCAGCAUUGUACCUGGCAGUAUAAACCAACAGGUAAUUUAGUGCUGAUUCAGAAAUAACUGUGCCCUGGUGACCUCCAAUGAGUUUGAGCAUUUCCAUGUGUACAUGCCCUUGGACAGCUUCGAACUUUCCUGGGCUUGG